rnacentral:rRNA from 1 species
AGCGAACGCUGGCGGCAGGCUUAACACAUGCAAGUCGAGCGGGCAUCCUUGUGGUGUCAGCGGCAGACGGGUGAGUAACGCGUGGGAACGUGCCCUUCGGUUCGGAAUAACUCAGGGAAACUUGAGCUAAUACCGGAUACGUGCGAGAGCAGAAAGGUUUAUCUGCCGAAGGAUCGGCCCGCGUCUGAUUAGCUAGUUGGUGAGGUUAUGGCUCACCAAGGCGACGAUCAGUAGCUGGUCUGAGAGGAUGAUCAGCCACACUGGGACUGAGACACGGCCCAGACUCCUACGAGAGGCAGCAGUGGGGAAUAUUGGACAAUGGGGGCAACCCUGAUCCAGCCAUGCCGCGUGAGUGAUGACGGCCUUAGGGUUGUAAAGCUCUUUUCUCCGGGACGAUAAUGACGGUACCGGAGGAAUAAGCCCCGGCUAACUUCGU